GGUCAAGCUACAAAGGGCUGACGGAGGAUACCUAGGCACACAGAGGCGAGG
rnacentral:rRNA from 1 species